GGACUGAUGAUGAGUUCCCCAAUAGGACGAAACGGCCGUCUAGUAC
rnacentral:hammerhead_ribozyme from 1 species